AUUGUUUUAUACGAUUAGUGGCAAUCUAGCUGUGUAUAUUAUUGAGGUAAGUCAUAUAAGUGUGUCACAUAAAUUAGGUGUGUGUGUGUGUGUGUGUGUGUAUGUGUUUCAGAGGCCCCAGAAAGAUCUGCUGUGUCUCUGAGGCAGAGCUGUGUGUUAAGCCUGAGAGAGAUAAACGAAUCACUGCAGGGAGCGUCCUGGCCAGACUGUGCCAUUCACCUACUCACCCAGCUCUCACUGGCACAUGAAGAAGAAACCUGGACCAUACUGCGCUCUCUUCCAGCCAUGGAUGCCAGUGGUGUUGCAGCUCUGCUGCACAGAUAUGAGAGUGAGCUUCAUUUCCCUAAGAUGAACAACCUGUAUGAGCUCCUACAGCCAGACACCUCCAGAGACAGAGCCACAGCAUAUAACUUCACUUUACCAGAUGGUGAGAGGACUGAGCAGAGACAGCGCAAUCCAUCAGAGAGCGAGAAUCAGGCCCACUGCAGUGGUAAACCACAGAAAGAUCCAGCUGCAGUUCUAUAAGCCUACAGAAUUUUAAAUAACGAACUCAAUCAUCUUCUCAACGUAGUGCAUAUUAUAAUCUAUAUAUAACUAUGAUGGAUUUGUAUAUCUGAUCACUAUUAAGGCUGAUUUAUACUUCUGCAUCUAGCCAUUGUGUUGUCAACCCAGCUGUGCGUGUUUAUACUUCUGCAUCGUGUGACCGUGACUCCGCGUCACUCUCCAGGAAUGUGUGGGUGGGAACACAAGGCUCAGUGGACCAAUCACAGCUGCUGCUGUCUGCGUUGGGCGUUAGGGCACACGGCUACAUGUAGGGUACGCAAUGGCUACAGUGUAGGUUUGAGACAGAAGUAUAAAUUGGCUUUUAUUUUUUUAUUAUAGGUUUAGGCUAUACUCACAUCUGUCCUUGGUCAUUAGUCAAUAACUCAAUACAUAUUAACCACAUAGUAUUACACACAAAGUUAUUCUGAAAAUAAUGUGGUCUGUAUGUAUUUGCUGUGUGUAUGUUUUGUGUUUCCAGGCUGUGGCGUUGUUCUCGUCCCCGAAGAUGCUCCAUAUCUAGAGAUCCUGGGCACCAGAAAACACAGAAAUGAGGAGAGCACAGAAAGGAGGGCAGGAGAAGAGGAAGAAUGCCGAGUAGAAACAGAGAGAGAGACAGAGGGAGCAGUGCAGAUGAGAGAGUUAGGAAAGGAAGAAGAAAGAGAUGGACAAGAGAAGAAGAAGAGAGAGGAAGCAGUUGAGAGGAGAGAUGAGAAAAGAAAAGAGAAGACUGAAGGAGGAGAAGAAGAGAGAAAGGUGGAGAUGUUUAUAGAAAAGCAGGGCUCACUGAUCACACUGGCCUGGAGCAAACCAACUGAUGCUGUGAGCAAAGAGCAGGAAAUGAGUGCUGCUCUACCAGAAGAAGAACCAGCAGAGAUAUCUACAGAUUCACACACUCAAAUCAGCACACAGCAGCCCCAUGGAGACUCCAUAAAUACCCCUAAUGAAGAGCAGAGCCACACACAUCCUGAGAACAGAACAAGCACAGAACAUGAACAAGCACUUACUGAACAUCCUGAAGACACACUGACUGCAGAGGAGCACACACACAUACAGGCUCCACUGGACCAGUCCCACUCCAGCAUGGACACUGAGUGUCAGAACAGUGAAGCAGAUGAACACACCACACACCCAACUGAGAGCACAGAGGACACAGUGGAGCCACAGGCCACUGCCCCAAAAACACACACAUCUGAGGCAGUAGGAAUGGAGGCAAUGGGUAAGGAGCAGGAGUCUGAGCUGGUGUGUGGAGGUCAAGAAGUGUGUGAGGAAAAGCUGGAAGAGGUGCGUGUGGAUGUGUGUGAGGAGCAGCAGCUCCAGCGUGAGGCUACCAUGCGCAGCCUCGUCCACAUCCAGAGGAGAGCAGAGAGACGGUGGCAGAGAGACAGAGACAGACAACUCCUCAGAGUGAGAACAAAUCCAGCUAAUACACACAAAAAUACAGUACAUUCAUUCACUCACACACACACAAAUACAUUUUAU
ensembl:lncRNA